UUCCAUGCAAAAACUAGGGCUGGUUUAGGCAUUGUUGACAGUUGAAAAUGAUCUAUUAUUCAUACUUCUUUCCCUUGAAAGCUCCUCUGGGAAUCUUGCUGAGGACACUUGAAUCGAACUUUUGGUAGUGGCCGCAAAGCUGAUCGAACACCUUAUAUGCGAAGGUGUCGACUUCAUCUUCAUAUUUCUCGUACAGAAUUGGAAGCGUAUGGGCCGCAACAAAGCCUGAACAUAUUUGAAAUGUGUUAGUAGUCUCCCAUGACCAAAAAGUUUCUAUCCAGACUUUGAUUCGUUGCGGCUGACUAAAAAGCAAGAUAAUUUCAGCACUUUCAUCGGUUAUGCUUUUUUGUUCUUUUUUAGACAGUUUACAUUCUUCUCAACUAAUUUCAUAGCGCAACAAUCUCACGGAAGUCAAUCAUUGUGGAGUACCAUACUUUCCAUGUGGCAUAUAAUUGGAAAAAGCUCAUCCUAUAUUAGGUGAUGAAAUGAAAUAGCUAAAGUCCCUUCCACAAAGAAGCAAAAUAAUUCAAACACUUUAAACAGUAAACUGUACCAUACUUUCCAUGUGGCAUAAAAUAGUUUCACUCAAUCAUAUGAUCCUACAACAUUAAGUUUUUUAAAAAAUUUAAGAAGUUAUAAGUAGCCAUCACAAUUUGAAUCAAAUAUAUAAGGCAAUCCAAACACACUCUAAAUCUUUUUUCUGGUUUCUAAAUAAUAUCAUCAAAGAAAUUGAAGAUGUAAAUGUUUUGAAAAGCAGAAUCUGAAACACUUACCAAUAUACAAGACAGUUACGAAAUUGCACCAGCUACUAAUCACAGCACCAACCCAUAAGCUCACUACGGCCUGGAAAUACAUUCACAUUAAAGAAGUAUCGACAAGAAAAUCAAAAAGUAAAAACAGCAAUCUAACAGGUUUCCUAGGAGCUAUAAUCAAAGAAACUCCAUUCAAUAUAGCAGACGCUUGCAAAACUGAGGCAGCAUAUUUCUCAAAUAUCCCAUGUUUUGGUGUUCCUGGAGCUAUAAUAAAAAAAACGCCUAAGUCAAGAGGCAAGGCAAACUAGGAGCUUAAAGUCAAUAAGAGAAAAUCAAUGCUUGUUUUUAUCAAAUUUCAACAUCUUGUACCUAAAUACUCAAAUAUGAAUGUGAUAGAACCCGACUUCUCAGUUGGCAAUGGAAAAGGAUACAAUAUAGGAAAUACUGUGGCUAAUGAAAAAUACAGAAGAAAAAUAAAAGCUCCCUGUCGAAGACUCCCUCUCUCCCUCGGCUGCCUUCCUAUCUCUCAAGGAAUAACAGUAGGAUUCUUAUCACCAAAAUUCUCUGCCCUCUCCCUUCCUUCUCGUCUCUAUUUAUAUUUGCUCCCUCACUCCCCUGCCAUGGUGAUCGUGCGUCGGCACUCCAUUUCCUUGUGGUCCCCACUUGCAGUUGGUUACAUAACCAACUCCUCGUCCUUUUUCUCUUUCCUGUUUUUUCUCCUACUAUACUGGCGUAUGAUGGGUGGUCUAACAGAAUGUCUAGAGCAAGUCGUUCUAAGGACAUUUAGAAAUACAACAGAAUUGCAAAACAAGUACAUGAAAUAUGUUAGCAUACCACAAGGAAGUGUUUCAAAUUUCCUUCACAAGCAAUAUCUUGGAGAUAACAGAGAGCUCGGUUAACCUCAGCACCAAACGUAACGGCAAUAUUGACAAAUAGUUCCUUGGGAAGAACAAGGCGAGGAACGU
rnacentral:lncRNA from 1 species